rnacentral:rRNA from 1 species
ACUCAAUAGAUACCCUGGUAGUCCUGGCAGUAAACGGUGCGCGUUUGGUGUGGGAGGAUUCGACCCCUUCUGUGCCGGAGCUAAACGCGUUAAACGCGCCGCCUGGGGAGUACGGUCGCAAGAUUAAAACUCAAAGAAAUUGACGGGGGCCCGCACAAGCGGUGGAGUAUGUGGCUUAAUUCGAUGCAACGCGAAGGACCUUACCUGGCCUUGACAUGCAUCUCUAAGUCGGUGAAAGCCGGCGAGUGUAGCAAUACACAAUUUGCACAGGUGCUGCAUGGCUGUCGUCAGCUCGUGUCGUGAGAUGUUGGGUUUAAGUCCCGCAACGAGCGCAACCCCUGUGAACUGUUGCCACCGGGCUUCGGCCGAGCACUCUGUUCAGACUGCCCUGUGAAACGGGGAGAAGGUGGGGAUGACGUCAAGUCAGCAUGGCCCUUACGGCCAGGGCUGCACACGUACUACAAUGCUCAGUACAGAACGAACCGAAACCGCGAGGUGAGGAAAUCCC